UACGGGGGGGGCAAGCGUUGUUCGGAAUUACUGGGCGUAAAGGGCCAGUAGGCGGCCAACUAAGUCCGACGUGAAAUCCCAAGGCUUAACCUUGGAACUGCGUCGGAUACUGGAUGGCUUGAAUUCGGGAGAGGGAUGCAGAAUUCCAGGUGUAGCGGUGAAAUGCGUAGAUAUCUGGAGGAAUACCGGUGGCGAAGGCGGCAUCCUGGACCGGUAUUGACGCUGAGGCGCGAAAGCCAGGGGAGCAAACGGG
rnacentral:rRNA from 1 species